GGUAAGGCCUUUCGGGGUACACGAGCGGCGAACGGGUGAGUAACACGUGGGUGAUCUGCCCUGCACUUCGGGAUAAGCCUGGGAAACUGGGUCUAAUACCGGAUAUGACCUCAGGUUGCAUGACUUGGGGUGGAAAGAUUUAUCGGUGCAGGAUGGGCCCGCGGCCUAUCAGCUUGUUGGUGGGGUAAUGGCCUACCAAGGCGACGACGGGUAGCCGACCUGAGAGGGUGACCGGCCACACUGGGACUGAGACACGGCCCAGACUCCUACGGGAGGCAGCAGUGGGGAAUAUUGCACAAUGGGCGAAAGCCUGAUGCAGCGACGCCGCGUGAGGGAUGACGGCCUUCGGGUUGUAAACCUCUUUCAGCAGGGACGAAGCGCAAGUGACGGUACCUGCAGAAGAAGCACCGGCUAACUACGUGCCAGCAGCCGCGGUAAUACGUAGGGUGCAAGCGUUGUCCGGAAUUACUGGGCGUAAAGAGUUCGUAGGCGGUUUGUCGCGUCGUUUGUGAAAACCAGCAGCUCAACUGCUGGCUUGCAGGCGAUACGGGCAGACUUGAGUACUGCAGGGGAGACUGGAAUUCCUGGUGUAGCGGUGAAAUGCGCAGAUAUCAGGAGGAACACCGGUGGCGAAGGCGGGUCUCUGGGCAGUAACUGACGCUGAGGAACGAAAGCGUGGGUAGCGAACAGGAUUAGAUACCCUGGUAGUCCACGCCGUAAACGGUGGGCGCUAGGUGUG
rnacentral:rRNA from 1 species